CCAGCUCCUCCGGUGUCGUGUUUUCACUGGUCUGUAUUGCCAUGUGAGCUGGACUCAACAACGCGAUUUCCACGUUUUUGUUCAGGCCGCUCAUUAGUAUUAUAAUUUUGCCACGGAACAACAAGGAAGGCAGUGCACAAAAAGGAUGCAUAUAACAAUUUUGAGGAGAAGGCAGAGUCCUGUCAUAGAAAAAUGCAUCAAGUGUUGCAGUAGUAAAUAUCACUGCCCAUUUUGCAAACCUCAAGUUUACCGUCCCGCCAUGGAACUACACCAGGUGCAAUACCAUGUCCAUAAUCAUUUAAGUCUGGCAGUAAAGCAUCAAGAGUUCUACAUAGUCAAAUGCAAUUUGUACUGCAGAGACCAGGCACAUUUUCACUGCUGCUAUUGCCCAACGACCAUUAUAAGGAGGGUUCAAAUAGUAAAACAUUUGACAGCAUGUAGAAAACGAUGCUUGAUUACAAAACCAUCCAUCAAAAUAGAACCAGAUGCCAUCACUGAUCCCACCAUUAAAAGAGAACCAGACACAAUCCAGAUCUGUCCAGAGAGCCACUUUCCAGAACCAGCUGUCAAGACAGAACCAGACAAGUCUCAGGUCUUUCCAGAGAGCCACUUUCCAAAACCAGCUGUCAAGACAGAACCAGAUGCAGCCACAAACCAGCCACCAGCCUUUCUAUCAGCACGUGUAUAUAUUGUACUGGUUUUUAAUGUAUCCUGGUUAAUCUGACUAUCCAAUGCGUUAAGUCUACCUUCUUUCUGGGCGAGCUGACAAAUCAGAGCACACUCGGCUCAUUGAGAGGCGGGGCUUAAAGACACAGGCAAUCUAACAGAGUGUGAAUAGAGAUGUAUGGUAUGAGAAAAAUGUGUUUUUGGAACACUGAAGCACGUAAAUCUAUUCUAGUAGACCCCAAAAAUACAAUUAUCAACAAUGAAAAUGAGCAUAAUAGGUCCCCUUUAAGCCUUUUCCUCAUGUAAAUCAUUUCAGAAUGUCCCACAGUUUUCAGAGUGGUUACCAAGCCAGUCCUGGGACCCCAUGAUCUGCACUGUUUUCUCUUUUUCUACUCUAAUACGCCUGGCCCAGCUUGUUAAUCAGUUGAAUAAGGGAUAAUAGAUGAGGGAAUGCAUAAAACUGUGUACGUUGUUGGGCCCCAAAUUGGAGCUAGCUAUAACAAUAAUGUGUACUGCAUAUUUUCUUAUUGUCCACAGAUGCAUAUAACAAUUUUGAGGAGAGGGCAGAGUCCUGUCAUAGAAAAAUGCAUCAAGUGUUGCAGUAAUAAAUAUCACUGCCCAUUUUGCAAACCUCAAG